GUCAAAACACAACACAACAGUUUUUGGAAAGAGAAACGAUUUUUAUUGGCUUGAUCGAACUCCCGAACUGCAGAGUAGACAGAUAGGACAGGUUAAUUUCACAUUGCCUUUUAUUGCUCCAGCUUCAACAGGCAUCAUAGUAAAUACAGUGAUACAGUACAAUGAUUUAUUUUUGUUGCAUAGUUUUCAUGUUUUUUGUUAUGAACGGAAUCGACCUAAUAGUAAAAACGGUUCCUUGUUUCUGGUUUUUUCUAGACCAAGGAAUCGUUUUUGUUAUCGUUCCUAUUAUCUCUAACGUAUAAUAUACUUUCGUAUUAAUUAUUUUAUUUAUUUUCAGGUUGAUCCCGCAUUGCCUUCCACCGCUCCACCGACAGCAGGCAAUAUUAUUACAUCAAUAUUAUUAUAUACUACACAUACUUUUAACAUGAAUAUAUAUUUAGAUGUACAUUAUAAAACUAAGUGAAUAACCGAUAAGUUGAUGAUUGUAUUUCAA